GACGGACGCUGGCGGCGUGCUUAACACAUGCAAGUCGAACGGAAAGGCCCUGCUUUUGUGGGGUGCUCGAGUGGCGAACGGGUGAGUAACACGUGAGUAACCUGCCCUUGACUUUGGGAUAACUUCAGGAAACUGGGGCUAAUACCGGAUAGGAGCUCCUGCUGCAUGGUGGGGGUUGGAAAGUUUCGGCGGUUGGGGAUGGACUCGCGGCUUAUCAGCUUGUUGGUGGGGUAGUGGCUUACCAAGGCUUCGACGGGUAGCCGGCCUGAGAGGGUGACCGGCCACAUUGGGACUGAGAUACGGCCCAGACUCCUACGGGAGGCAGCAGUGGGGAAUAUUGCACAAUGGGCGGAAGCCUGAUGCAGCAACGCCGCGUGCGGGAUGACGGCCUUCGGGUUGUAAACCGCUUUCGCCUGUGACGAAGCGUGAGUGACGGUAAUGGGUAAAGAAGCACCGGCUAACUACGUG
rnacentral:rRNA from 1 species